GCAGCGCCCCCUGCCGGCGGAGCGCGGCGCGGCCGGGGCAGAUUCCCACGGCCCUGUGAAGGUGCGGUUGAGCAACGAGAGCUGGCGGAAUCCAAGAGGCAGCGCUUUCCCCCCCAUCGCUGCCCCACAGUCUCUCCUCCUGCCCGCUCUGGUGCUCACCUUACACACAGGGUAAACCAGCAGGGACUUCCUAAACCACCAAGAAGCUGUUCCCGUUCCCGGCGUGUUAGUUUUCAGCUACUAAUUACCUGCACUGGCUCUCCGUGGGGCUGAGGAGAGGCAGCGUGUGAGACACGGGGAGGAGCGAAUCCAUCCUCCUUUGGCAGCAGGAACGUUUUGGCAACGGCGUUAAACCAGUCAAACUGUAUUGUCUAACCACACCCUGCACCAGGAUUUGCCUUGAAUUCACUUAAAUAUUCCGUUCUGCCUUCUUGCCUAAGCAGCAGUAAUGCCUAGUGAUGGGAAGGUAACAAAGAGCAACUGCUAAUGGUGUGGUGUUUCUUUCAGAUAAUGGUUCGUGCCAAGGAAAGGGAUAUUCCAUAUUCCCCACCUCUGCAUGCCCCCUUCUUUUCCCUGGAUUUAAUCCAGCCAUUGUGUGUCUACAGGAUAGUUCGGCUCUGUUGGCCUUGCAGAGGAAAAUUAACAAUAGGCAGAAAAGAAAAAAGCAGCCCAUGUGUAGUAAGGACUGAGAUCCAGCAGGCUUAAUAAGACCUCCACCCAAGAAGAUUUACAUUUAAACCUGGAGAAACUGCUUGGAAGCUGGCUGAGGCUCUACAUCCAUUCUGAUGUCCCCACUCGUGCAAUCCUUCCCCAAAGUAUCCUACAGCAGGAUUAAAUCAUUCCUAAGGGUAAAGGAACAUGCUCCUGCCUAGCAGCACCAUAUUGCCUUCUCCAACACAUUUUCACUUCCAGUUCAUCUCCUUUGCUCCUCAUACACCCUUCCCAAACUAUAUAUCCAUACUCCUGAUUCUCGUGGCCACAGUUUCCUCUGUGCUACAGCAUCUGCCUUGUACCAGUAACUGGUAGUUGUGUUUAUUAUGGGCAGCCUUGAGUAUUCCUCAUUUAUAGGGCAAUAAUGAAUCCUCUGGCCUCAUCAAUGCUGGUAGUGGGAAAAAGAAAUACCAGCCACAAAACCCAAACCAAAACAGAACCACGUCCUAUUCUGAUCAAGGGAUAAUGGUGUUAGUGACAGCUUUUAGGCAAGUUAUAAUGAGACGAGGUGAAAAAUAGUAGAUCAGCCCCCUCCCAAGUCAGUACUUUCCACAAAAUCAGGAGCUGAGAUGCUAUUUUAUAUCCCUCCAUGUCACUGAAACCUCAGCUCACAUUCAUGGAUGGAGAAGUGCCCAAGAGUGCAAGGACCAAGGUUCCUGCUUUCAGCAGCAACAUCAGUUUCUAUCUAUUCAAAUAAAACUGCUUCAUUUCUUCUCCUGUACUUAGAGCAAAUAUGUUAUUUACACCCCCCCAAGAUUAACAAGGGUUAGAACCCAGGGCAAUUGAGAAGUUGCUCCUAAGGCCAUCUGGCUCAGUUGUGUGGCAGCUCUGCUCUCUUCACCCUAACAAGCUGUUCCUGCUCCUGUCCUUGGCCACAGCUCUGGAGCUACCCUGGCUCUUAAACAGGGCACACAGGACAGGGGAGAUUAGAGCUGGAUUCAGCCCCAGAGGCUUAUCUGGUCUGGCUCAAGGGAAGCUGGACUGGCCUGGCUGGUCGUGUGGAAUCACUCCUGUGGCUGUGCAGGGAGAAUUUUCCUAAAGCCAGCUCAGGGGCUGUCAGGUCAACAUCCACAGCAUGGCCCAAACCCAACACACCAUCCUGGGCUGGAUGGGAGUUGGCUCAGCACAACAUUCAGAAGUCUCUCUCUAAUUAUUUUACCAUCUCAGCAAUUUUAAAUUUUUUUUUAAGUUGGCACGUUGGAUCUUGUAUUUACAUGUUUUUGAAAGGAAAAAAAAAAGCAUUUGCAUUCUUGUAGAUAGUUACAGAAAAUAAAGUUACAAAAGGAAAGGUUUUGUUGAGCCAGAAAGAAACAAAAAAAAAAUUAACAGAGUUUAAACCAUUUUCUGCUUAGAUAUGCUAUGCAUCCUUCCACAGAAUCACUUCAUGUUUUGUUAUAGCUCCUCUGUUUUGCUCUCAGUUCUGCCUGCUGUAUUCCCUGCACAGCCCUACACUCUGAGGGUUUUUUUUUCCCAUUCAUGCUGCCAUAUAUACAGAACAAAUAUGAGAAAGGCUGCAUUGCCCUUAAGAUUAUAAUCAACAAAGUGUUCUCUGUUUCACCUGAAGCAAAACGCUUAGAUAAAUAAUUUUGGUUUGUGUCUAACCUUUAACGAAAUGAAAACAAUUCUGCCUGAAGACACACUCUACUGACUCACUCAGGUGUGGUUUCAGUAGCCAGUUUACAUCAGAGACUGCAGGCUUUUUGCCAUAACUUUUAUUAAAAUUUAGUGCCAUGGUAACAAAAUGCAUGCAUUUAAUAUUUUUUUUACUGCAUGAAAUACUACUUGGACAAAGACUUUACAGUAGUAUGGAAGUCAGCAUGUCAAAAAUUAUAAUAAAAUAUUACUAAACACAUAAUUGAAAAAAAUGCAAUUGUGGCAAAUUGCACAUAAUUGUAUUUGGUCAUCUGGUCUAAUAUCCACUAAAAAUAAAUCCACUCCAGCCACAAAUUUAGAA